rnacentral:rRNA from 1 species
GCAAGUCGAACGCGAAAGUACCUUCGGGUGCGAGUAGAGUGGCGAAAGGGCGAGUAAUGCGUUUCUACAUACCCUCAGGUCAGGGAUAGUCCGGGGAAACCCGGCUUAAUACCUGAUGUGGUCUCCGGAUCAAAGGCUUCGGCCGCCAGAGGAGUGGGGAACGUCCUAUCAGGUUGUUGGUGAGGUAAAAGCUCACCAAGCCACUGACGGGUAGCGGGUGUGAGAGCAUGACC